UACAGAGGUCCCGAGCGUUGUUCGGAUUCAUUGGGCGUAAAGGGUGCGUAGGUGGCAAAGUAAGUUGGAUGUGAAAUCCUGGGGCUUAACCUCAGAAUUGCAUUCAAUACUGCUUAGCUAGAGAGCUGUAGAGGAGACUGGAAUUUACGGUGUAGCAGUGAAAUGCGUAGAUAUCGUAAGGAACACCAGUGGCGAAGGCGGCUACCUGGACCAGCACUGACACUGAAGCACGAAAGCGUGGGGAGCAAACAGG
rnacentral:rRNA from 1 species